rnacentral:rRNA from 1 species
AUCAUUAACGUUAUACGGGCCUGGCACCCUCUAUGGGUAAAUGGCCUCAUUUAAGAAGGACUUAAAUCGUUAAUUUCUCAUACUAGAAUAUUGAUGUUCCAUACACUGCAUCUCACAUUUGCCAUAUAGACAAAGUGACUUAGUGCUGAACUGAUUUCUUUUCGCUCGCCGCUACUAAGA